rfam:Myotis davidii contig157613, whole genome shotgun sequence.
AGUGGUUCUCGGGUGAUGCACUUUGGAAUUGGACUCCCUCUUCUCUGGUUCCAGGUGUGUCACUGGAGAACCGCA